CGGCUUGUCCGUCGGGUGUGAAAGCCCGGGGCUUAACCCCGGGUCUGCAUCCGAUACGGGCAGGCUAGAGUGUGGUAGGGGAGAUCGGAAUUCCUGGUGUAGCGGUGAAAUGCGCAGAUAUCAGGAGGAACACCGGUGGCGAAGGCGGAUCUCUGGGCCAUUACUGACGCUGAGGAGCGAAAGCGUGGGGAGCGAACAGGAUUAGAUACCCUGGUAGUCCACGCCGUAAACGUUGGGAACUAGGUGUUGGCAACAUUCCACGUC
rnacentral:rRNA from 1 species